UUUGUCUGGUUAUUCCGUUAACGAACGAGACCUUACCUGCUAAAUAGCUCACGGGAAUAGGUUAAGACCGUCCCCUGGAUGCUUCUUAGAGGGACUUUGCGGUUAUAAAUCGCAAGGAGGUUUAAGGCAAUAACAGGUCUGUGAUGCCCUUAGAUGUCCUGGGCUGCACGCGCGCUACACUGAUGCGUUCAUCGAGUUUAACCUUGGUC
rnacentral:rRNA from 1 species